CCUACGGGAGGCAGCAGUGGGGGAUAUUGCACAAUGGGGGAAACCCUGAUGCAGCGACGCCGCGUGGGCGAAGAAGUAUUUCGGUAUGUAAAGUCCUAUCAGCAGGGAAGAAGUAAUGACGGUACCUGAGUAAGAAGCACCGGCCAAAUACGUGCCAGCAGCCGCGGUAAUACGUAUGGUGCAAGCGUUAUCCGGAUUUACUGGGGGUAAAGGGAGUGCAGGCGGGACGGCAAGCCUGAUGCGAAAGCCCGAGGCCCAACCGCGGGAGUGCAUGGGAAACUGCCGUGCUGGAGUGCCGGAGAGGUAGGCGGAAUGCGUGGUGUAGCGGUGAAAUGCAUAGAUAUUAGGAAGAACACCGGUGGCGAAGGCGGCCUACUGGAGGGUGACUGACGCUGAGGCUCGAAAGCGUGGGGAGCGAACAGGAUUAGAUACCCGAGUAGUC
rnacentral:rRNA from 1 species